GGCGAGUGAGCAGCAAUAGCUCAAAUUUGAAAUCUGGCGUCUUCGACGUCCGAGUUGUAAUUUGUAGAGGAUGCUUCUGAGUAACCACCGACCUAAGUUCCUUGGAACAGGACGUCAUAGAGGGUGAGAAUCCCGUAUGCGGUCGGAAAGGUGCUCUAUACGUAGCUCCUUCGACGAGUCGAGUUGUUUGGGAAUGCAGCUCUAAAUGGGAGGUAAAUUUCUUCUAAAGCUAAAUAUUGGCCAGAGACCGAUAGCGCACAAGUAGAGUGAUCGAAAGAUGAAAAGCACUUUGGAAAGAGAGUUAAAAAGCACGUGAAAUUGUUAAAAGGGAAGGGAUUGCAACCAGACUUGCUCGCGGUGUUCCGCCGGUCUUCUGACCGGUCUACUCGCCGCGUUGCAGGCCAGCAUCGUCUGGUGCCGCUGGAUAAGACUUGAGGAAUGUAGCUCCCUCGGGAGUGUUAUAGCCUCUUGUGAUGCAGCGAGCGCCGGGCGAGGUCCGCGCUUCGGCUAGGAUGCUGGCGUAAUGGUCGUAAUCCGCCCGUCUUGAAACAC
rnacentral:rRNA from 1 species